UAAGUUUUUUCUUUUUGUCGGGAUGAUAGAGGCACUUGAAAAAAAGAAAUGAUUUAGAAAAAUUAAGUAACAACAUCCUUGAGAAGUGAGAAUGAUUUUAUUUUCCAUCGCUUAUUGUCUUAAUCUGUUUUGUAUUGCCUAACAGAAUAGCAUAGAGUGCAUAAUUUAUAAUGAACAGAUUUAUUUCUGAUAGUUCUAGAGGCUAGAAGGCCCAAGGUCAAGAGGCCAUGUCUCAUGAGGGCCUCUAGCUGCAUUAUAACUUGGCUGAAAGCGUCAUGGAGAGAAGAGAGCUUGAGGGCUCGCUUUAUAGCCACCCCCGAGACAAUGUUGACCCAUUGUUGUGGCUGAAUCCUCCACCUAAUCUCCCCUGACAGCCCCCACUUCUCCGCACUGUGGCAUUGGGGGUUUCGUCUCAAAUGCGUGUACUUUGGGGACACAUUUAACCACAGCACUUAGCAGUAGACAAUUCACUUUGGUGGCUUCCUUUUUUGUUUUUGGCUAAAUGGUCAUGAGGCCAGUGUAUCAUGACUGUCUGCCUUUGUAUUGCCAUUCUGGCAUUAAAAAGUCAUGGGGAAUAAAUCAUGGAGAUGGAUGAAGCAGGAUAACAGGGUCAGCAAACCAUCCUGUUGUUAUAUAAACUGAUGCCAGGACCAGAUUCACAAUAGUGUCCAGGUCGCUGGGUCUGUCUUGUGGUAAAGGUGGUGGUGGGUUUUCAGGUGUGGUCGCUCUACAUGUGGGAGAAUCAGACAGUGGGGCUGGGAAGAUGGGGAUAGCUCAAGAUGUGGGGUCGAAUCAAGAAUGAAAAUGAAAGUUCCAAAGAGAUGGUUCAUGAGGAUGUCAAAGGGCCCAGGGCCUGAGUAGUCAGUAGGAGGUGAAUCAGGUUACCUGGAAAACAGGUGUACUUGGUGCCCAUGUGGAAUCUACUCUGGGUUGUUGGUGGAUAUUAAAUAUGGAUAAUAUCCCAUAGCUGGCUGACUAUUUUAUAAUUAAAAGCCUAGGAUUUUUAUAUCUGGGGUGAAGAAAUUAUCUGGCAUGUGGCAUUGAGGUGUUUUUUUAAAGCCAGAUUUCAAGAGUCUUACUAGCUUUUUUGUUGUUGUUUUUAAAAGGCCCCUCAUAUCCAGUUUGUGGGCCUCAUUGAAAUUAAUGACUUUUCCAACAUGGCGAAAUGGGGUGGGAAACUGUGUAGGACUUCUCUUGAUAUCCUUGCAUUCUUUACAGAGCCUAGCUGCUUUAUAACAGCCAAGCAAAUGGUCGAGAUUAUUUUUAGGGGUUAUUUUACUGGGGAUUUUAAGAGCUAAUACAUCUGGGGUUGUUCUAGGUCAGGGGAAUAUGGAAAGGGAUGCAGCUGUGAAGUGUUUUGUUGUAGAUUAAUCAUCGUCCAGAGAUGCUUAGACUGUAGAAAUAAAUGCAAGCCCACUGCAGGUCCUGUCUUCUGUAUGUUGGCAGGGGAAUAAAGUUUGAGAUAGCAAGCACAUGAGCCACCCUGAUUUGAAGAGGUCUUUCUUAGGAUCUGUUAGCCCUUAAUUUUGUUGAAAUCUUUUUCCUUCUUCCUCUUGAAAAAUAAGUUCCCAAACAUAGUUAUUGUAUCUUCCAUCACUAAAAAGUUUAUUCCUUUGUUCACUAUGGGCAGUUCACACAAGGCAAAAAUAUCAAACUGUUGGUU
ensembl:lncRNA